CUGAUGAACAGUAGCCCGUCAGUCUCCUCUGUCCCUUGGGAUUUUCCAGACAAGAAUACUGGAAUGGGUUACCAUUUAUAUACAGAAAGGUAAAAAGGAAUCUGAUCAUUGGAAUGCCCAAGGCCAGGUGGGCCUGGUCAGGAUGUUUUCCAUGCGCUUAAACAGAGUUCCCAGAAAUGGACCAUUAUGUGUACUUUAAGCUAUAGGCUACAUCCCUUUAGUGAUUAACUUGUGGCAAAAAGAAUAAAAUACAAAGGUUAAAGUAAAAUAAAUGAAUCCGAUAUGAAAUCAGACUUAUUCCCCUUGCACAAAAUUUGAAAGCUCUAGAGUUUAUGGUAUACUCUUCUUAUCACCAG
rnacentral:lncRNA from 1 species